CACCACACACAGGGAAAGGACAUUGUGAGUAAUGGUUCAUCAGUUGUAUCAGCCUUUCAAUGCAACUCAAGUUAUGGACUUCGCUCACCUUCUUGCGAAAACCUGGUAUUAUCACUAAUUGACAGUGAUUCGGUGCCGCACAAUGGAAUAUCUCUAAAUUACCAUCUCAGUGAAUUAACGCAAUUUGUAGUUUGCACCCUGGGACGAUGGUACCUCUCAGGCAAAUUUCUGAAUGGACUCUACUUCUUCUGAUGACGAUUUAUGAAUCUGUCGGUUCGCCAGAACUGAUCUGUCCGGAUGUCGGAUAUCUUGGUUCUCCUGCUCAUCUGACGUGCAUCUCACCAAGAAAUAUAACUUCACAUGGCUAUGUGGCAUCGCAAGGUGAAGUUGCCGCUAUCUGCAGUGUAUCAAGCUCAUCAUGUACAACAAUAGGCAACUACAUGGCGUCUACCAUCAACCAGACACACAGUCGCCUCACCAUACCUGCAGUACAGCAAACACAUGCAGGGCAGUGGAAGUGUACUAUCCUACCUUCGUCUCCACUCUCCUG